rnacentral:lncRNA from 10 species
GUCCAGUAUUUAGAAUUUCAUUAAUCCCCCUGCGUGCAACCCUUUAUUUCACCUUCACUCUCUAUCACUUACAGUGUGUUUAAGACCUACUCCUCUGGUUCAGUCUCUCCAGAAAUAAGCCACGAUUGCCUGACUAGGGAUAGUCACCGAUGCACAGGAGAGGAAACAGGGGUCUAACCUCUUUGUAUACUAGCAGAUCCCUCUGGUUUCAGUGCCAUGUUUUAAUCCAUGGUGUCAUUCAUACUUGAGCCCUUCAGGUAUUCUGUAGCAAAAACAGGUUCAUUUCUUGAAUUUCAGCUAGUCUAUAGCUGAGAUCACUUUGCUUAAAUGAAUGACUUAUUUUACAAUGACCUGUGAUCUGAUUUUGUAAUAUCACACGUUUUAAACCUUUGAUAUUUGACAAACCUUCCAAAAUCAAAUUAUAAAUCAUGUCUUUUUCUGACCUAAUUAAUCCUUUAAGAUAUUAGUAACAGGUUCCCUAAAGUCCAAAAAUGACAUAUUUGCCUUAUUUGGUAUAAAAAUUAUACAGGAAGCAUUGUCAAAUAUGAAAUGGUGUUUGGUUUUCUUUGGGCUGUAUUUGUAUAAAUAUGUUAUUGGUAUGUGUUCCAAAAUUAUGGGAAACUCCUAUAAUUCUGAUAUGACUUAAUAUAUGUUAUCAGUAAUAAUUAUAAUUGUUAUGUUACAUUAUUGUAUGCCACAGAGGUAACAAAUUUCCUUGUCAAAGUGCCUUUGACUAUAGCUGCCCUAAAACUUUUUGCCAUCCAUGGACAAUUGUUAUCUUGGUUUGAUCGGUUUUAUAAUCAGCUAUAAAAUGCUAACAGGUGCUUUUUAAUGCAGGUUUCUGAUAACUUUGGAGAUUGUGACAUCAGGAUAAAAGAAAACUUUCAGGACUCAUGGAGAGCUGAAAUGUUCAUGAAUGUCAAAUAGAACAGGAAUUAACUGCAUGGACUAAACUAACAGAAGUCCAAACUUUUAAUGAAUGAGUAUACUCCUAUGAACAACAUUUGGAUCAUAUUUGUUUCUCUCUGAUUUCCACAGAAUUUGGAAACUAUUUGAAUCAAACUGACUUAUGGAGCCAAUCAAAGCCCCUUGGAAAAACUGGCCUCAUACCUUUGUCUACAGAGUUCCUGACCUGUGAUGGAGUCUCGCACUGUCACUGCAAUGGCGCGACCUCGGCUCACUGCAACCUCUGCCUCCUGCAUUCAAGCGAUUCUCCCACGUUCAAGCAACUCUCCUGCCUCAGCCUCCCGAGUAGCUGGAAUUAGAGGCACCCGCCAUCAAGCCCAGGCAAUUUUUGUAUUUUUUGUAGAGAAAGGGUUUCACCAUGUUGGUCAGCCUGGUCUUGAACUCCUAACCUCAGGUGAUCCGCCCACCUAUGGCUUCCCAGAGUGCUGGGAUUACUGGUGUGAGCCACCGCGCCUGAUGGCAUUUUUAAAAUAGCAGCUACAGCACACUAAUAGAAGCACCUAUGAGCUCUCUGUGAAAAGUUUAAUUGAUUAUAAAACUCAGCCAGCCAAGAAAUGAAUCAAGAUUUUAAAACUCAUUUGUGGCAACAUGGAUGGAACUGGAGAUUAUUAUAAGUGAAAUAAGCCAGACACAGAAAGACAAAUAUUGCAUGUUCUCACUCAUAUAUGGGAGCUAAAAAAAGUUGAUCUCAUAAAAAAAAGUUGAUCUCAUAAAAAAAGUUGAUCUCAUAUGAUAGAUGCUAGAGGCUGGGAAAAGUGGGUGGGUGGGAAGGGGAAUGAAGAGAGGUGGGUUAAUGGUUACAAACACACCAAUAAAAAGUUUAAGUUCCAUUGUCAACAGUAGAGUAGAGUGACUACAGUUAACAACAAUAUAUUCUGUAUUUCAAAGUAGCUGGAAGAGAGGACUUGAAUUGUUCCCAACACAUAGAAAUGAUAAAUACUCAAAGUGAUAGACAUGUCAAAUAAAUACCCUGACUUGAUCAUUACACAUUCUAUAUAUAUAACAAAAUAUCACAUAUUAUCUUAUUACCCUAUAAAUAUGCAAAAUAUUAUGUAGCAACUUUUAAACUUUUUUUUAAAGAUUGGAAAACUCAGUAUUGGAAAAGACAUAGUUGAAGGGCAAGUAGUAAACAAUGAAUCUAUGUAAAUGUAAAAUGAAGGAUCAAAAGCUGGGGUAGUAAAAAAAUAUAUAAACAAAUACAAUCAGGGAAAAGGGGUAGGACUUAGCAAUGACAGCUGGCAUUUAUUUGGUGUUCAUUACAUUGUCGGUACUGUUGUGUUACAAGAAAAACCUG